UUUCCGUUGGUGAACCUGCGGAAGGAUCAUUAUUGUAUAACCAAAGUCCGAGGCCUGUGGCUAACCCGAUAGCACGUGCACGCGCGAGUGCCCUCACACACAGCCAACUCACCCCGGAGUGCAACACCGCUGGAUUCCCGCUUUGGCGUGUUCGUAGGGGGGAAUACGAAAUUACCAAAACUGUGUACCCUGUGUCGGAUGUAUUUUUUGUAUUUGCGAUAACGCAAGCACAACAAUUUUAAACAACGGAACUCUUGGCUAUCGCGUCGACGAUGAACC
rnacentral:misc_RNA from 1 species